rnacentral:rRNA from 1 species
UACGGAAGGCAGCAGUGGGGAAUAUUGCACAAUGGGCGCAAGCCUGAUGCAGCCAUGCCGCGUGUAUGAAAAAGGCCUUCGGGUUGUAAAGUACUUUCAGUCGUGAGGAAGGUGUUAAGGUUAAUAACCUUAGCAAUUGACGUUAGCGACAGAAGAAGCACCGGCUAACUCCGUGCCAGCAGCCGCGGUAAUACGGAGGGUGCGAGCGUUAAUCGGAAUUACUGGGCGUAAAGGGCACGCAGGCGGUUAAUUAAGUUGGAUGUGAAAUCCCCGGGCUUAACCUGGGAAUGGCAUUCAAGACUGGUUAGCUAGAGUCUUGUAGAGGGGGUUAGAAUUCCAUGUGUAGCGGUGAAAUGCGUAGAGAUGUGGAGGAAUACCGGUGGCGAAGGCGGCCCCGUGGACAAAGACUGACGCUCAUGUGCGAAAGCGUGGGGAGCAAACAGGGAUUUAGAUACCC